rnacentral:tRNA from 1 species
GCCCGGGUGGCGAAACCGGUAAACGCGACGGACUUAAAAUCCGUUGCCCUCAAGGGCUUGUGGGUUCGAGUCCCACCCCGGGCA